GACGAACGCUGGCGGCGUGCUUAACACAUGCAAGUCGAACGGACAGGCCCUGCUUUUGUGGGUUUCUCGAUUGCCGCACGCGUGUGUAACACGCGAGUAACCCGUCCUUGACUUUGUGAUAACUUCUCGAAACUCCGGCUCUUAUCCCAUAUGACCUCCUGCUGCAUAUGGUGCGUUGGAGAGUUUCGGCGGUUCUGGAUGGACUCGCUGCUUAUCCGCUUGUUGGUGUGGUAGUUGCUUACCAAGGCUUUGACGGGUACCCGGCCUGAGAGGGUUAACGGCGACAUUGGGACUGAGAGACGGAGCAGACGGCUACGGGAGGCAGCAGGGGGGAAUAUUGCACAAUGGGCGGAAGCCUGAUGAAGAAACGCCGCGUGCGGGAUGACGGGCUUCGGGGGGAAAACAGCUUUGGCCUGUGACGAAGCGGGAGUGACGGUAAUGGGUAAAGAAGCAACGGCUAACUACGUG
rnacentral:rRNA from 1 species